AACGAACGCUGGCGGCAUGCCUAACACAUGCAAGUCGAACGAGACCUUCGGGUCUAGUGGCGCACGGGUGCGUAACGCGUGGGAACCUUCCCUUAGGUUCGGAAUAACUCCCCGAAAGGGGUGCUAAUACCGGAUAAUGUCUUCGGACCAAAGAUUUAUCGCCUUUGGAUGGGCCCGCGUUGGAUUAGCUAGUUGGUAGGGUAAAAGCCUACCAAGGCGACGAUCCGUAGCUGGUCUGAGAGGAUGAUCAGCCACACUGGGACUGAGACACGGCCCAGACUCCUACGGGAGGCAGCAGUGGGGAAUAUUGGACAAUGGGCGAAAGCCUGAUCCAGCAAUGACGCGUGAGUGAUGAAGGCCUUAGGGUUGUAAAGCUCUUUUACCCGGGAUGAUAAUGACAGUACCGGGAGAAUAAGCUCCGGCUAACUCCGUG
rnacentral:rRNA from 1 species